GACGAACGCUGGCGGCGUGCUUAACACAUGCAAGUCGAACGGAAAGGCCCUGCUUUUGUGGGGUGCUCGAGUGGCGAAAGGGUGAGUAUCACGUGAGUAACCUGCCCUUUACUUUGGGAUAACUUCAGGAAACUGGGGCUAAUACCGGAUAGGAGCUCCUGCUGCAUGGUUGGGGUUGGAAAGUUUCGGCGGUUGGGGAUGGACUCGCGGCUUAUCAGCUUGUUGGUGGGGUAGUGGCUUACCAAGGCUUUGACGGGUAGCCGGCCUGAGAGGGUGACCGGCCACAUUGGGACUGAGAUACGGCCAAGACUCCUACGGGAGGAAGAAGUGAGGAAUAGUGCAAAAUGGGCGGAAGCCUGAUGCAGGAACGCCGCGUGCGGGAUGACGGCCUUCGGGUUGUAACCCGCGUUCGCCUGGGAAGAAGAGUGAGUGACGGUAAUGGGUAAAGAAGCACCGGCUAACUACGUG
rnacentral:rRNA from 1 species